GUGAAUCAUCGAAUCUUUGAACGCACAUUGCGCCCUCUGGUAUUCCGGAGGGCAUGCCUGUUCGAGCGUCAUUACACCCUCAAGCCUUGCUUGGUGUUGGGAGCUGCCUGCGCACUCCUCAAAAACAGUGGUGACGGCUGAUCAACUCACGCGUAGUACUUACUCCACGACGAUGAGAUCAGUCUCCCCCAGAAAGCCUCUUGUUUGACCUCGGAUCAGGUAGGGAUACCCGCUGAACUUAAGCAUAUCAAUAAGCGGAGGA
rnacentral:misc_RNA from 1 species